rnacentral:tRNA from 1 species
GAGGGUAUAGCUCAGUGGUAGAGUGUGUGCUUAGCAUGCACAAGGUCCUGGGUUCAAUCCCCAGGUCCUCU